rnacentral:misc_RNA from 1 species
GAUGAAGAACGCAGCGAAAUGCGAUAAGUAGUGUGAAUUGCAGUAUUCAGUGAAUCAUCGAAUCUUUGAACGCACAUUGCGCCCCAUGGUAUUCCGUGGGGCAUGCCUGUUCGAGCGUCAUUUACCCCCUCAAGCUCCGCUUGGUGUUGGGCGUCUGUCCCGCUUCGCGCGCGGACUCGCCCCAAAGGUAUUGGCAGCGGUCGUGCCAGCUUCUCGCGCAGCACAUUGCGCUUCUCGAGGCACCGGUGGGCCCGCGUCCAUCAAGCUCACCCCCCCAGUUUGACCUCGGAUCAGGUAGGGAUACCCGCUGAACUUAAGCAUAUCAAUAAGCGGAGGA